GAUGAACGCUGGCGGCGUGCCUAAUACAUGCAAGUCGAGCGAACAGACGAGGAGCUUGCUCCUCUGACGUUAGCGGCGGACGGGUGAGUAACACGUGGAUAACCUACCUAUAAGACUGGGAUAACUUCGGGAAACCGGAGCUAAUACCGGAUAAUAUAUUGAACCGCAUGGUUCAAUAGUGAAAGACGGUUUUGCUGUCACUUAUAGAUGGAUCCGCGCCGCAUUAGCUAGUUGGUAAGGUAACGGCUUACCAAGGCGACGAUGCGUAGCCGACCUGAGAGGGUGAUCGGCCACACUGGAACUGAGACACGGUCCAGACUCCUACGGGAGGCAGCAGUAGGGAAUCUUCCGCAAUGGACGAAAGCUUGACGGAGCAACGCCGCGUGAGUGAUGAAGGUCUUCGGAUCGUAAAACUCUGUUAUUAGGGAAGAACAAAUGUGUAAGUAACUAUGCACGUCUUGACGGUACCUAAUCAGAAAGCCACGGCUAACUACGUG
rnacentral:rRNA from 1 species